rnacentral:rRNA from 1 species
AUUGAACGCUGGCGGAAUGCUUUACACAUGCAAGUCGAACGGCAGCACGGACUUCGGUCUGGUGGCGAGUGGCGAACGGGUGAGUAAUGUAUCGGAACGUGCCCAGUCAUGGGGGAUAACGUAGUGAAAAUUACGCUAAUACCGCAUACGAUCUAUGGAUGAAAGCGGGGGAUCGCAAGACCUCGCGCGAUUGGAGCGGCCGAUAUCAGAUUAGGUAGUUGGUGGGGUAAAGGCCCACCAAGCCAACGAUCUGUAGCUGGUCUGAGAGGACGACCAGCCACACUGGAAAUGAGACAAGGUCCGGACUCCUACAGGAGGCAGCAGUGGGGAAUUUUGGACAAUGGGCGAAAGCCUGAUCCAGCCAUUCCGCGUGCAGGAUGAAGGCCCUCGGGUUGUAAACUGCUUUUGCACAGAACGAAAAGGUUUCUACUAAUACUAGGAGCUCAUGACGGUACCCGUAGAAGAAGCCCCGGCUAACUUCGUGCCAGCCGCCGCAGUAA